CGUCCUCCCAUUCGCCCCCUCCCCCCGCCCUUCUCUCUCCCUCUCUCGAUCUCCUCUCCAAGCCGCCGCACACCCCCUGCCAUCGCGCCGCCGACGUCGUUGCCGCUCGCGUCUCAGGGCGCCUCGUCGGCUCCCGAGCCCUCCUGCUCCGACCCCGCAGAGGGCGCUUCCAUGGUCGGAGCGGAGGAGGAGAUCCAGGCGGAGCGCGCCAUCUCCAUCGCCGCGGCCCCCGGCCUUCAUCGAGCCGCUCGUCAUCUUCCUCAUCCUCGUCGUCAACGCCGCCGUCGGCGUCUGGCAGGAGACCAACACUGAGAAGGCGCUCGAGGCGCUGCGCCAGAUCCAGUCCGACGCCGCAUCCCCCGCCGGUCCUCCUUCUCCUCCUCCCUCACCUCUCUCUCUCCCUCCAAACGCUGCACCGUGCCCGCCUCCCAGCCCCACCGCCGUCCAGGUCCAGCCCCACACCGCCGUCGUCUUCUUGGCCCAGCGGCCGCCGCCGCACCGCAUGCUCGUGUGCAGGGGCGAGAAGGGGAACCACCGCCCGCCCCCGGAGCGCGAGAGGUGAGACAGCGCCCAGAUCCACGGCGGCAUCGACGCGCCGUCGUCGACCUGAGCCGCUAUGGUCUCACCCUGCUGUGCUCCUUCCCCUCCACGGCUCCUAGCUCGGGCAACAACAAGCCAUCUCAAGGGAGUGGAUUCUCAAGUCACCCCACUUCCAAUCCAUGGACGCCAUCCACAAGGACCAAGAUGACGACGCACACAUCCUCCCUCUCCGAGCUGCAGGCACCCUCCGUGGAUGAGGACGACAACCAGGGCAUCCAUGGUCGACAGCUCGAUGGCUCCUCGGGUAUAUAUACUAGAAGUUGUUAUGGCUCACUUCCAUUUAUAUCAUGUUGACACGGUGAAUCAGCUGGUUAGAAUUCUGUACAUUUUUCUUCACCUUGUGAGAGGCACAUCUUUCAACCAAGAAUGUCAUCAGUGACUAUCCAGAGGACAUGGAAGAGCAAAUUGCAUACUUUAUGAACUAAUUGUCUCGAUUAUAUGGUUGGCGAGUACCGACUAAUUUGCUCGGUCAAGCAGUUUAUUCUUUCAGCAGUUUUGUACCAUUUGAUUAAGAAAGUGGCUCUCUCUCAUCUACUGAUGAGCAUUCACUGGCACUUCUAUAGGCUAAUAAGGGUGAAUGCAAUAGCUCAAGAAACUGAAUCCUGAACAUUCAAGGGAAAAAAUACCUCGCCCUCGGAACCAGGAAGAUGGCCGCCAAGAAUGCGCUCGUGAGAAAGCUGCCCAAUGUGGAGACUCCGGGCUGCACCACCGUUAUCUGCUCUGACAAGACUCGGACACUGACCACCAACCAGAUGUCAGUCUCAAAGCUCGCUGCGAUCGGUGAUGCCCCAUGGAAAGUUAGGAGCUCAAGGUGGACGGCACGUCGCAUGAUCCCCGUGAUGGAAAAUUUUUACUACUGGCCUGCAGGGAGGAUGGAUGCAAAUCUUGAGAUGAUUGCGAAGGUUGCCGCUGUGUGCAAUGAUGCCAGUGUCUCACAUUAUUCAAACCAGUAUGUUUCCACCGGAAUGCCGACCGAGGCUGCUUUAAAGGUCCUGGUUGAGAAAAUGGGAGUACCUGAAGGAAAGAACGGUCUGUCGGUGGAUCCGUCCGAGACAUUAGUUUGGAGGUGAAACGUUGAGGCCCUUUGUGCUGUUGGAGGCUGAUUGGUACUGUUGGUGCCGUUUGGUUCAUUCAUAAGAAAUGAGAGGAAGUGGAAGGAUAUAAGGUAGCUUCUGCAGAAUCCAAAGAUCGUUUGGUGCUGAGAGCCAUUGCAGCGCGCCGCCGCUGCCAGGCUUGACGUGGGCAGCCUCCACAGCAGCAGCAUGCUCCUAAUGUCGCUAGAGUGAUUCCAAUGUUGUCGCCGUUCAAUCCCAACUAUCUGAUGUUCAUAGUUCAGACUUCGCCUAAGCUCCUUAAUGGCAUUGAUGCUGGUAGCCUGUUUAAACAACCGCCUUUCAUGAUGAAUAAUGCGGUCGCUGCUUCUACCGUUGGUGUCUGUAAAUCAAGUACCAGGAACUUAUGUUCUUAGCUAGCAGAGGAUCUCUUCCAGCUGCAUCUAGGACUGUUACUCGCAGCCCAGAUGCAACCUUUUCACUCCGGGUAAACUUGUGUUGCCUGAGAUUUCACCUAAAAAGCUAAUGCUACUUUAGAUGCCACAUCGUGUUUCGCCUCCUUUCUCAGGCAUUUCCAAACUGAUCUCCAUGGUGUGUCAACCUGCAUGCGUCCCCAAGAGCGCCUCCAGCUCCAACAUUGACUCCGCAAUGCCAAAAUCUUCAGGCCAGUUUGUUGUGGCUCCCACGAAUCAGCCUUUGUCGUCGACUCGUCCUGUGAUGCUAGCCUCCAGCACUGCUGCGAGUAUUAUGCCAAGAGUAUACUUGGAGUCCACAUCCAAGAUCAAAGCAUCUAGCUCUGUUCACUCAGGUUCUCAGGAGUAUCUCACAAAUGAGUCAUCAUAGAGAAGAAGACAAUUCCACAGAAGCAAAGCCAGUGCAUUGGUAGGGAGCUAAAUUAGCAGGCAUGCUACCUAUACUAAAUGAAGAUAGAAGUGAAAUUUGAGGGCCAACAAAUAUAGAUGAAGAUAGAAGUGAAAUUUGAGGGCCAACAAAUAUGUUGUAUCGUGGAUGUCCCCCUUUACAUCAUUGUUUUAUGAAAUGCACUAACGCUCCUGGAAGGUUGUUCUGAGUAUAUUUAUAUAUUUUUUUACAACAAGUAUGAUUUGGUGUGAAGUUAUCCAAUGUCGUGUGAUGAACCUUGAUGUUUAGUAUUGAAUCAUUAGUAAGUGUUUAGUAACCUGCUUUUUUAGAUGUUACCUUUGUAGCGAAGUUGUUUUUGGCAUAACUUUAAUCUAUAUUGGGCAGUUGCCUUGCUUAUGCA